rnacentral:rRNA from 1 species
CCUACGGGUGGCAGCAGUGGGGGAUAUUGGACAAUGGGGGCAACCCUGAUCCAGCCAUGCCGCGUGUGUGAAGAAGGCCCUCGGGUUGUAAAGCACUUUCAGUGAGGAAGAACGCCUGGUGGUUAAUACCCAUCAGGAAAGACAUCACUCACAGAAGAAGCACCGGCUAACUCCGUGCCAGCAGCCGCGGUAAUACGGAGGGUGCGAGCGUUAAUCGGAAUUACUGGGCGUAAAGCGCGCGUAGGUGGCUUGAUAAGCCGGUUGUGAAAGCCCCGGGCUCAACCUGGGAACGGCAUCCGGAACUGUCAAGCUAGAGUGCAGGAGAGGAAGGUAGAAUUCCCGGUGUAGCGGUGAAAUGCGUAGAGAUCGGGAGGAAUACCAGUGGCGAAGGCGGCCUUCUGGACUGACACUGACACUGAGGUGCGAAAGCGUGGGUAGCAAACAGGAUUAGAUACCCGGGUAGUC